AUACGGAGGGUGCAAACGUUGUUCGGAAUCACUGGGCGUAAAGGGCGCGCAGGCGGUUUGAUUAGUCAGAUGUGAAAGCCCACGGCUUAACCGUGGAAGUGCAUUUGAAACUGUCAGACUUGAGUACCAGAGGGGGUAGUGGAAUUCCCGGUGUAGAGGUGAAAUUCGUAGAUAUCGGGAGGAAUACCGGUGGCGAAGGCGACUACCUGGCUGGAUACUGACGCUGAGGCGCGAAAGCGUGGGAAGCAAACAGGAUUAGAAACCCCAGUAGUCC
rnacentral:rRNA from 1 species